ensembl:snRNA U6 U6 spliceosomal RNA
GCGCUCACUUCAGCAGCACAUAUACUAAAACUGGAACGACACAGAGAAUAUUAGCAUGUCCCCGGCACAAGGAUGACAUGCAAGUUUGUGAACCACUCCAUAUUUUU